CCGCGCUCGCCGGGCAGAGCGCGUGCGGCCGCCGAGCACAUGGGCCCGCGGGCCAGCCGGGCUCGGGGCGGCCGGGACGAGGAGGAGCAGCGAGGAGCCGCUAGCAGCCGCGGGUCUGGGCUCUCCCGGCACCAGCGAGUGGAUUUCCACGCGGAAAGGAUGCGGGCGCCUGGGUGACCCGUAAAGACACGGCAGGAGCCACCUUCCACCAAAGACUGGAGCCACUCAGAUAUCUGCGACUGGAGGACUGGUUCAGGAAAUGACACGCGGUGCAGUGGACUGGAUCUAGAAGAGAAUGAGGAAGUGCUUUGUGGACGACCAGGGUGAGCUGAAACCUGCUCUCAUGGUACUACAAAGAAACAACAUGAACUGACCCAGCGGAAUCGCCACUUCCCUGCUCGUCAGAGACCGAUCAAGGAGGCACCCCGUUUGUGGUAUCAGUUGUGAAGAAAUCUGAGAGACGACACAGGCCAGCUGGGAUGGUGAGAGCGGUAAUGACUUGGAUCUCGCUGCACGCGGCCACUUCCUCAUCUCCCGUAGUGCAGAUGGAGUCAGGAUAAAAAGCUUGGAGAGCUUUGUUGUGUCUCAGCUACUGCACCUGCAUGCUGAAGCAUCAAACCAGGGCCCCGUACGGUGUCUCAUCUACUUGGAAGCCUCUGAUUCCAGCCGGCUGCCUGUGGCAGGGGACACCUCCAGGAGUCUCUCAUCUGCUUUUGUUUCUGCGUGUUCACACAUUCCUUUUGGAGAGGCCAGAAUCCUGUUAUACCAGUGAUUUAGAUUAUUUGAAUCUAAAAAAACGUGCCCAUUCACUCAGUGCUCCAGAAGGACUUGAGAACUGUCCUUCCCUGGACAGAAGCUGAAACAUUUGGAGAAUUAAGACUGGACCACAGAGAUAGCAGGGUUGUCUUAGCUGCAGCAAGCCAGGACCAGUUCUUCAUCCUGCACAUUACUGUCUGUCUUACACCUGAGCAGAACUGGAAAUAUUUUAGUGGAGCAGUAGCUGAUGGACUACUCAGCAACCCGCACGGCCACCUUACAGCGGAUGUCUAAAUCUGGCCAACUUUCUGAGCAGUGCUGCCUCUUCCAUCCAAAGGAUCUUCCCGCUGGUCUGUUUGAUGAGCCAUUUGCAAGAAUUUCCGAAGCAGUGAAGCAGCACCAGCAUGUGUCCACUGCC